GCGACGUGACCCUGGUGCUGCGGUCGCUGCGUAUACCUCUCAUAGGCAGCAGAGAACACUCAGGUCGAGGACGCUAUCGUAACCGCGACGCUUGCCUCUGUUCCCUGCCCCGAUACCUCGACCCCUGCCCUUGCCCCGGUGCCACCCACCGACAGAGGGACGCCUGCGUCCCCCACCACCACUGCGACUGGUUCCUGUGUCGCUUCCCCAGGGCCUGGACUCCAUUCUUGCCUGCGUGCCUCAGGACGGAAACCCCUUCCCAACCCUGCCCAUCGGGACCGCGACCCCUAUCCUGGACCCUCGCGCCUUUGGCGAUGGCGACCUUGGCCCUGAGUCCCCUCCCCGCCCCCAGCGAGGCCCUGGGUCUGGAAGACUGGCUUUUGCAAGUGAGGAAUGUGGAUGAAGGGUUGGAUCAGAGAAACUAAAGGUGUUUUCAGUAGCUCCUGAGCGGGGUCCACGAAAACUCCGUGCGAUUUCAACGAGAAUGGAAAGACUCUUCCAAAACAAGAAUGUCUUACCCUCCCUUAUCAAUUUUAGGGGGGAAACCACAAAGCAUUUCCUUUAAGCUUAUUCCCUGGUUUUCUGUAUCCUUGCUGUUGAUGAUAUAUAUCAUACAUGAAUUAUUUCGAAUUUUGUGGUCUCCCUCCCCCGUCCCCAUUAAAAAGGCGUUGGGCUAAGGGAAUGUGACUUAAUACUAGAGUGCUUGCCUAGCCAUGGGUUCCCCCCUCAAGCACGGGGGUGGGGGGGGCGGUAGACUAUUUUGGAUUUAAGCUUUGGGUUCUGCCCCUAGCAUGGUGGAGGGUUUGGGUAUGUCUAUUCGUGGUCUUAUUUACCUGUGCUGCUUGUUCCUUCCUAUCCAUAAUGUUCAAAUUCUGACAGGUCUACAUUUUGGAAGAAAGCCUCCUGGACUCCUCCAAGAUGUGUAAUGUGUAAUGCCAUCCUUAUCAAUGUCUUCUCCUUUGUAAUACCUGUCACAUCCGAAAAAAAUCGUAAAUUAAAUAUUCAUAGCUAUAUUUUUACAGAUAAUAAUCACCUAAGAUUGAGUUUUCCUCUAAUAUUGAAAGCAUAUAUGAUAAUUCAGGAGAAAAAAAUGAAUUAAAACAUUUCUCCCUCUCCCUAGUAUGUUUGCCUUCUGUUACUAUCCAUCAUUCAUAGUGCCAACAAGCAUUUCCUUAAAAAUUUUGUCACCACCUUUUCAUUAAAGGCCUUCACUGGUUCCUUGUUUGUUUGUUUGUUUUUUGUUUUGUUUUGUUUUGUUUUCCCUACAGGUAAAACCAACUCUCUUUCAUGGAAAGAAGGCCCUUCACAAAACAAGUCCUAGCCUGUCUUCCAUCCACCUAGUCACUUACCUUUCCUACUCUGUGGGGUUAGACAUCAUAACUUUCCGAUCACCUUCAUGUAUCAAACAUGUUUUAGGACAUUGGAUGCAACCAUUUAAGUGAAUCUAUGAAUCACCACUGGUUACAACGUGCUGUUGGUGAAAUGCUGAACUAAAGAAUGAGAACAAAGUUAAUUCUUUUGAUUUUCACACAGCUCAUUGGACUCUGUGCUUCUCCAAAGAAUUUGGAACAGCAUAAUUAAAACAAGCACCAAGACAUUGGAUCCAUGAUUUCACCUCUAGCUCCUGGCACAGUAUACUUUGGAACAUGUGCCAUCCCUCUCAAGAGAAGUGGAUGAUGUGAGGUACUACAAGAGGUAGACUGAUCGGCAUUCUUGGGCUCCAACCACAGCAAAGGGAACACAGUGACUUCUGGACUUAGGGUCCCAAACCCUAGCCCCUCAUAUCAGCCUACUCCCGCUGCACCCUGUCAUCCUGUAUCCCCUGCCUCUGACCCUGCCUGGGUCCCUGCACUCCUCCCAGGACUGCAGCUAGUGAUGAAUCUGCAGCAUGGGUGCCAGGAAAACUAUGGGGUUGACGAUCCCUGAGUAAACUGCCAGAAUCUUCUUCCUGGUCCUCAGUCUCUCACGGGGUUAGAGACACUUAUUUCUUUCCUAAAAUGCUCCCUUUUCCCUUGGUUUUGAUGCUGACCAAGCAAUGUUGGUAACUGGUAAACUUCCAAAAUUGUACUUCUCAGGUGAUAUUUUUGCUCCUAAGAUUCUCUGAGAACUGUGACUCAGGUCAUUCUCUUUUCAGUCAAAUAUUUUACUGCCCAAGCAAUGUGUUUCUUUACCUGUUGCCUGGGCCUGAUAGUUUGUUUUGUUUUCUAACCCCAUGGAUUUAAAAGAUCUUUUCCAGGCUGCCUGACUUCAAAAUCGGAAGAGCUUAAUACUCUGCUUUAAGUUGUAGCAGGAAAUGAACAAAGUAAAUACUACCCUGCUAACUGGAAUCACUUGAAACUGCACUGUUAAUUUUUUUAAAAAACAUAAUCCUUUGAAAACCCUGGCCUGAUGGAAAAUGUGUGAGGCUUCUUGGAACCCAUGGGCCUCAAUUUCUCUCUCUUUAAUUCCACCUGACGUAGACUGCUCCUGGCCUGCUGAGAAUUCUCUCCUUCCCUACCCUGGUCCCUGAAACAUGUGUCUUCCACUUUGUAUAUACUGGUGCCUGCCAAGCAGCCAUGGGAGGGAGUGUGGCACACACACACCCCUCUGUGGGAGAGAAGGCUCCAGGCCAGGUUUCUGGUCUACCCACCAAACUGACGCCUUCUUUGUACAACUGCUCUGGGAGCUGACUCAGACUACCUCUCUGCUCUGGAACUGUUAAUGACCCCAUGAACCUUGAGAGAUUAAAUCAAAUUAUACAUGCGCCAACCCCUGAAGCUAGAUGUAAAUGGCAGCUUGGAGCUUGAUUUGCACCACAAACUACAAACUACAGAGUUCUGUUACCAGAGUGCUUAUUGGGCUCCAGUCUAUGUGCCCAAGGCUACACCUACAUCCAAGAGACCUGAGCAGAGUCUCACUGGGGAAAAGCUUAACUUAUAAUUUUGUUCAGCCUAAACUCAGGGUGGCGAGAAAAUUUUACAUGCACUCUCCAUUUGGGAAGUAAGCAAGGGGAAAAAGAAAUGGGGCUCUAAUGUAGACACAUAUUGGAAGAAAAGUGUGAUAUUUUCAAAAUCCUGAUGUCUACAUUUCUGAUCUAGUCCAUAGCCUAAAAUGUGGUCUGUUUUGCCCCUUUCCGUUCUGUCAUUCUGUAAAAGAAAUAAACUCUAAAUUAAGCCUAAACCCAAACUUACAACCCUCCUCACUAUUCAUAAACAUUUUUGACAAUGGGAGAGUAGAUGUUGGCCUUUCAGGGAGUCUGGAACAGCCCCUGGCCCUUCUCCUAACUAUCUUCUAAUGCUGCCCUCUCCCUUCCCCUUGGUUCAGACCCUCUUGAUUCUUGGCAGCUAUUGUUGCAUUUUGACUAGGGUGUUUCCCCCCUUUUCUUGAUAUAAUUUGUACUGGAUUCUUCUGAUUAUAAAAAUAAUGCAUAAGUGUUUGUUGCCAUUAAUGUGAAAAAUAUAGAUAUACUCAAAGUGGAAAAUAGAAAUUUUCCAUAUCCUCAUCCCCAAGAAAUAUGUACUAUUUGGUUGGUAUAAGUCCUUCUAAUGAUAUGGGUGUUUCUAAAGGGGCAUUCCAAUGUAGAGAUAAUGCUUCAUAAAAUGGAUUUUCCUCUUUCUGUAUGAAAAUUACCAUUCCAUGUCAGUAAAUAGUCUGCAAAGUCUGCAGAGUAGGCCAAAUUCUGCAUGGACCAUAAUUCAAUAAAACAAUCUAUUUUCUAAGACAUUGGCAUUUCUUCAGAACACUUAGCCAUUAUAAAUAAUGCUAUAAUGAGUGUCCUUAUAAAUAUACCUUUGUACAUACUCAUAAUUACUUACACAAGGAACAUUCCUGGGAGUCAAAUGACCAGGUUAUAAGUUAUGCAGCAAACGAAAUCAUUGAUGUGUCUCCAUUCAGUAUGCUUUGGGAAAGUUGCACUUAUUAAGAUCUAACCAAUUUUUAAAGUACCCUUUUCCUUGAGCUUCCUUCCUAAAAUAUGAAGCGUGAUCAUGCUGUGUAAUCUUUGUAGCCUGAAAAGGAAGAAAAGUAUCUCAAAGUUUUAAUUGGCAAUUUUAUGAUUACUGUGGAUGAUGAAUGUUUUUAGAUACUUAUCUGAAUUGCUUAUUCAUGUAUUUUGCCCGUUUUCCUAUUGUGCUGGAGUUAUUUGUAUGUGGAAAAUAUUAACACUACAGAAAAAAAAUUACAUAGAGGAUGGAGCCCUUAUUCAAAGUCCAGAAAAUAGGAGACGUUGCAGUGUUGAAAAAGGAGGAAAGGAAAGUCUCAUUAUGGACCCAAUAGAUCUGUGAUACCCAUGAUUAUCCUGCUGGGGAAGAUGCCUUUCUAAUUCUGAAACUCAGGUAAGAAAUCUGGAUUGGAGAUAAAAAUUAUAAGUAACUCAUAUAUAGAUAGUCCUGAAACUGUGGUGUUAUGGUUUGGAUGUGGCGUUCCUCUGAAAGCUUAUGAGUGAGAGAAGGCAUAGAGGUGGAAUGAUUGGGUUAUGAGAGACUUAACCCAUUCUGUUAAUUAAUCCCCUGACAAGGAUUAACUGAGUGGUAACAGAAGGCA